GCUUGUCAGCACACCUGAAAGCUCUAGAACAAAAAGAAGCAAAUACACCCAAGAGGAGCAGGGCUUCUUUUGUUUUUUUGUUUUUGUUUUUGUUUUUUGUUUUUGGAGAUCAGUGUUCACUUUUGAAAGGUGAUCCUUUGAGCAGUGACGGAGACAGUGGUGUCAUCACAAGCCCAUGAUCCCCCUUGGGGAUACAGAGCUCCCAGAGACUUCAGCCUGGGCUUCUCUCACUUAUGUGGAGUUUCUGUGAGUGAAGCCACUUCCUCAUCUUGCCAUGGCCUCGAGGCUCCUUUUCUGCCUGGUCCUUUGUUUCUUGAGAGCAGAACCAACAAAUGCUGGUGUCACCCAAACACCUAGGCACAAGGUGACACAGAAGGGACAAGAAGCAACUCUGAGGUGUGAGCCAAUUUCAGGACAUAAUGCUGUUUUCUGGUACAGACAGACCAUUGUGCAAGGCCUGGAGUUCCUGACUUACUUUAGCAACCAAGCUCCUAUAGAUGAUUCAGGGAUGCCCAAGGAUCGAUUCUCAGCUCAGAUGCCCAAUCAGUCGCUUUCAACUCUGAAGAUCCAGACCACACAACCCCAGGACUCAGCUGUGUAUCUUUGUGCCAGCAGCUUAGACACAGAGCUACAGAAUCAUAUUCUGCUGAGGCAGAAACCAUAA